rnacentral:rRNA from 1 species
CCUACGGGAGGCAGCAGUGAGGAAUAUUGCACAAUGGGCGAAAGCCUGAUGCAGCAACGCCGCGUGAGCGAAGAAGGCCUUCGGGUCGUAAAGCUCUUUUCUCAAGGAAGAUAAUGCCGGUACUUGUAGCGGAAGCCCCGGCAAACUACGUGCCAGCAGCCACGGUCAUACGUCGGGGGCUAGCGUUAUCGGGAAUUACUGGGCGUAAGGGGUGCGUAGGUGGUUUCUUAAGUCAGAGGUGAAGGGCUACGGCUCAACCGUAGUAAGCCUUUGAAACUGGGGAACUUGAGUGCAGGAGAGGGGAGUGGAAUUCCUAGUGUAGCGGUGAAAUGCGUAGAUAUUAGGAGGAACACCAGUGGCGAAGGCGGCUCUCUGGACUGUAACUGACACUGAGGCACGAAAGCGUGGGGAGCAAACAGGAUUAGAUACCCUUGUAGUC